CUCCACUCUGUACUACAACACCUGUUCACUAUUACCUUCAAGAGCUCCACUGCACCAAGGAAGAACACAGACACAGCAAUGGAUAGGUGUAGACCACACUGUGAGGACAAAAACAAUGGUAGUUCCCUUGGCAACGUACAUGGAGGUGGAGGCAAUGCGAACAUUGGCAAUGCAUCAGGAGGUGGAGGAAGUCACAUUGGCGACGUACACGGUGGUGGAGGCAACACCAACAUUGGCAAUGUAUCAGGAGGUGGAGGAAGUCACAUUGGCGACGUACACGGUGGUGGAGGCAACAAGGACAUUGGCAAUGUAUCAGGAGGUGGAGGAAGUCACAUUGGCAACAUAGAUGGGGGUGGAGGCAACACCGGCAUUGGCAACGUUGGAAAAUAAUCUGGAUGCCAUUAGGGCCGCUUCACCAAAAGCCUGUCAACAUCCCUGCUCACUCUGGGUUGAAGAUUAUGAAAACUGGGUGCAUAUUCAUGUUCUUAGUUCUAUCAGAUUCACUCUAGGAGUAUGGUUUUAAUCAGCAUUGUAACCGUUCUUGUUUUUGUCAAAUAAAUAAAUGUUACAACACUGA